CCCAACUUCAUCUUCAGAAAAAAAAUUUAAUGGCAAUUGUCUUUGGAAAGGAAAGAGAUGAGAAGGGUAUACCAAAAAGUGUGGAACUUGAUGAUGACUACAUUGUAAAAUUUUAUCCAUAAUAUAAUCAAGCAAAGAAGGCGUCGGUAGGGAGAUACUUCGAACUUGCUUCCCUUCAAUUCCUCUUCCUCGUACCGCUUGGUUUCUUUGGUGAUUUUGAGAGAGUAGUUCGAUACUUCUAAGGGGAAAGGCUGGCUAUUUUUUGAGUUACUUCGUGGGAAAUUUGACAAGAAAGAUUUCCUGGAAGUUCUCAAAUAAAAAGCUAUUCAAUAUCAAUAAGAUAGCGGUCAAGACCCGUGUUUCUAAUCGGAUUACUGAUUUCUAAAUGCGAGGUGGGUGGCGCGUGACUAGUGCAGUGGGCGGGAACACCGAAAAGAGGAGAUCUGUCAAUUCUAGGUUACCCGGAAAAAAAAAUGGAAGUUAUAGUUUUCUGAAGAUGAAGUUGGGGAAGAAGAUGAAAGGUUGGUAUAGGAUGGGUUGGUGGUGGAGGAGGAGGAGGAGGAAAAGUGAAUUUUAU
rnacentral:lncRNA from 1 species